rnacentral:rRNA from 1 species
GGAUGUGAUCAUACUAGCAAUAAUGCAUCGGAUCCCAUCAGAAUUUCGAAGUUUAGCUUGCUUGGGUGAAAGUAGUACUAGGAUGGGUGACCUCCCGGGAAGGCUUCGUGUUGCAUCCCUCU